UACGUAGGGGGCAAGCGUUGUCCGGAUUCAUUGGGCGUAAAGAGCGUGUAGGCGGCCAGGUAGGUCGGUUGUGAAAACUGGAGGCUCAACCUUCAGAGGUCGACCGAAACCAUCUGGCUAGAGUCCGGGAGAGGAGAGUGGAAUUCCUGGUGUAGCGGUGAAAUGCGCAGAUAUCAGGAAGAACACCCGUGGCGAAAGCGGCUCUCUGGAACGGUACUGACGCUAAGACGCGAAAGCGUGGGGAGCGAACAGG
rnacentral:rRNA from 1 species